rnacentral:RNase_P_RNA from 13 species
CAUUCAGACCAAUUCAAAGUAAGAGACGCUAAGAAACAGAGAAUAACAAUCCCUGCAAACAUAAUACCAAGGUAGCGCACAACCUUCAAAGUCUGUUCUCGUCUUUUUUCUUUUUCUUCUUCUUCUUCUCCUUGUUCUCCCUCUCCUUGUACUUCUCCUUCUUGUGAUUCUGGUAUGCAUUUGAUGAAGUCCUUGAUGCCGAUGCAAAGAUGUACGAGAAAAAAGAACA